AAAAAAACAUUUGUUUUUUAUAUAUUCAAAUGAAUUUAUUGAGGCCAUUUAGAAAAAUGUGUAUGAACUGCAAGCCUUAAAAAGAGUCAGCUGCUUUUAUUAUUUUGAAGAUCCUUUAAUGAGGUAAUUUCCUGUUUAUUAUGGAGCUCCGCCCACUUGUCUGCAGUAGCUUUUGAAAUGUGAGAAGGUGGGAUAGAAGACUCAUUAAAAGGCCAGAGACACCAGCCAUUAGGUGGCUCUGCAUUCAUUACUGUUGACCAUUAACAGCAUUGUGUCAUAACGUCCUCGUCCAACCCACCAUCCUCCCCAUCUUUGCCUCUCCCAUGUUAUUUGGCUCCAUUCAAGCCUGCGUCUUCAUCUCCACCACCAACGCCUGGACUCCACGGGGUCCUGUCCUAAUCUCUAUCACUGCUGGACCUUCAGGUCAAGGUCACCAGUUUUCUUCCUGA
rnacentral:lncRNA from 1 species